GCCAAUUCCAUCCAACCUAGCUAGCUAGUCAUGGAGAUGGAUCCACCACCCAAAAUGCUUGCCUCUCUCACAAUAACCAUACUGAUGAUGAUGAUGGCCACCUCCGUCGCACUUGCGUCGUCGGAUGCAGCGGUGCUCGAAGGACAAGCAAGAGCGCUCCUCGACUGGAAAGCCAGCCUUGACAACCAAAGCCAAAGAGCACUGCACUCUUGGGGCAACACGUCGACGCCCUGCAAUUGGCGUGGCAUCACCUGCGGUACCGGUAUGCACCGGCACCCGCUAGUGAUCAAAGGCAUCUUUCUGCAGGGGAUGCGGCUAAGAGGGGCUCUGGAGUCCCUCAACUUCUCUACCUUGAGGACCUUGACACGCCUCGACCUCUCACACAACCUCCUUGCUGGGAGCAUUCCUCGUAGUAUCGAGGUCCUUGGCGAGCUCCAUGCUCUCCUUCUGCAAGGCAACCAGAUAAGAGGCUCAAUCCCACUAGGUCUAGGAAAUCUCACAAAAUUGCAUUCCUUAAUGCUUCACGAAAAUGAACUUUCCGGUGAAAUACCAAGCCAAAUAGGCAACAUGAGUAGUCUUGUCACCCUCAACUUGUCAAGCAAUCACUUGGUUGGUCAUAUCCCUUGUGAAAUAGGACACAUGAAGCACUUAGUUGCAUUAGAUUUGUCCAGUAAUAAUCUUUUCGGUAAAAUACCAAGCAGCAUAGGUGGUUUGACCGAACUCACUAGCUUGUACCUUUACAGUAACAAACUUUCUGGACAAAUUCCACGAGAACUAGGUUAUCUUCUAAACUUAAAGGACCUGCAACUUGGCAUCAACACGCUCUCAGGUUCCAUUCCACGAAAUUUACAUAAUUUGACCAAGCUUACUGUGUUAAUACUAUGGGGAAACAAACUUUCUGGGUUAAUUCGACAAAAAAUAGAUUACCUUUCAAAUUUACAGUACCUGAGUCUUGGUGAAAACAUACUCUUGGGUUCCAUCCCAAAUAGCAUAGGAAAUUUGACCAAACUCACAACCUUGUCCCUUCGCAACAACCAACUUUCUGGGUUAAUUCCACAAAAAAUAGAUUACCUUUCAAAUUUAGAGUACCUGAGUCUUGGUGAAAACAUACUCUCGGGUUCCAUCCCAAAUAGCAUAGGAAAUUUGACCAAACUCACAACCUUGUCCCUUCGCAACAACCAACUUUCUGGGUUAAUUCCACAAGAAUUGGAGUACCUUGCAAACUUAGAGUACCUAGAUCUUAGUGAAAACAUACUCUGGGGCUCCAUCCCAAAUAGCAUAGUAAAUUUGACCAAACUCACAAUAUUGUACCUUUACAACAACAAACUUUCUGGACACAUCCCUCGAGAACUAGGUCGCCUCGUGAACUUAAAGGAUUUGGAGCUUAGCAUCAACACACUAACUGGUUCCAUCCCAAAUAGCAUAAGAAAUUUGACCAAACUCACAACCUUGUACCUUGACAACAACCAUAUUUCUGGCCACGUCCCUCGAGAACUAGGUCGCCUUGUGAACUUAGAGGUUUUGUAUCUUGGCCCUAACACGCUAACUGGUUCCAUCCCAAAUAGCAUAAAAAAUUUGACCAAACUCAUAGACUUGUACCUUUUCGGCAACCAACUUUCUGGACACAUCCCUCGAGAAUUAGAUUACCUUGAGAAGUUAGAGGAGUUGGAUCUUAGCAACUAACACACUAACGGGUUCCAUCCCAAGUAGCAUAGGAAAUUUGACCAAACUCACAAAUUUGUACCUUAAGAGUAACCAACUUUCUAGCCAAAUUCCACGAGAAGUAGGUUAUUUAGCCAACUUAGACUACUUGAGGCUUAGCUACAACACACUGACAGGCUCCGUCCCAAACAACCUAGGCAAUCUCACAAAAAUCACUGGCUUGUAUCUUGACAAUAAUCAACUUUCCGGCCACAUUCCUCGAGAAUUAGGUUAUUUGGCCAAUUUAGAGUGGUUGUCCCUUAGAAAUAAUUCACUAACAGGUGCCAUCCCAAAUAACCUUGGCAAUCUGACAAAACUUUAUAAAUUGGACUUUGGCCAGAACCAACUUUCUGGGCCAAUUCCAUGAGAAAUUUAAAGUAUUUAGAGCUUACCAACAACACAGUAACACAUUUCGUCACAAACAGCCUAGAGUGUCUUGUAGAAUUAUCUUUCUAGGAAAAAUUCACAAAAAUUAUCUUGUAGGAUUAUCUUUCUAGGACCAAACCCCUGCGCCAGCUCCUCCUCACGGCGAUCGACUCCACCUGCUCCUCUCCUGCACUCGUCCUCGCCGAAAAAAAAAAGAAAAGAAAAAAAGGCCCACACCCUCGCCGCUGGGUCACUCCACACCGGCUCGCUCAGCAGCGACUAGGCUGCCAUCGCCGCGACGUCCGCGCCGGCAGCCCUCGCCCUCACCGCCGUCUUCAACUGCUGGAACGCCCCCAAGCUAAAGCUAUCGCUGUUGUUUGCUCCCUGUACUUGUCCUAAACUGGAGUCCCUACAGAAAGCUACGGAGAGCAGUGAAUUAGCGAGGAGGAGAUGAGAUUGCCUAAAGUUCCCAGGGUAUGAAUUAAUUAAUGAACCAUUGCGCACGGUGUCGUUACUUACGUUGAGUAAUACGGAGUAGAUUUCAGAAGAAUCUUGAAUAAAUAGCCACUCAAUUUUGUAGUACAUUUUUUCCUGCCUGAAUGUUUAUCAUCCUUACUCUUGCUAGGGAACUGAACAGGUGACUUUGGCGGGAAUCAAAUGGCCACAAGGGGGCGUGCACUUUCAGUAAUAACAGAUGCAUUUGAGAUGCACGGUGCUGUUGAAAUUGAUACGCCUGCAUUUGAGUUGAGAGAAACCCUUACGGCCAAAUAUAUAUGAUGAAGACCCUAAGUUGGUCUACGACCUUGCUGAUCUCGUACAGACAGUUUCAAUGUCCCUUUAUAAUUGUGUUUUGCAUUUAACUCGCUCACCUGUCAUGAUCUGCUCCCUCUAAUGCUACUGAGCUACUCUGUCUGGAGCAGGAAGGCAAAGCCAGUACUGUGGCGCCCAAGGAAGCAGCGGCCCAGUCACCCUUGCCACCUGGGAGACAUGAAGGAGAGCAGGCGCUACUUAUCAGAGAGGCUGAAACGUACGUAGUGUGGGUCUUGUGUGUUGGUUUUAUUGAGACUAAUGUACCUCUCUUCUCCUCACCUUCUCCCCUCCUCCUCUCCAAUUCCUUCCCAGAUCCUCUUGUAUGUAUCAACUCUAGAACUCGAAUUCCAGCGAAGUAUGGCCAUUUGAUCUGAGACAAAGUCAAUUAGCU
rnacentral:rRNA from 1 species